GCCAAUCUUCCUCUUUUGUAUGUGGGACGCCACCACAGUGUGGCUUAAAGAGUGGUGUGUAGGUCUGUUUUCAGCAUCUGAACCUGUGAACCCUGGGCCACAGAAGUGGAGCGCACGAACUUAACCACUAUGCCACUGGGCCAGCCCCUUAAACGUCAUCUUUGAAGCCUUCUGUAACUUGAUAGUUAGAGGGUUAGCCGUCUUUUUCAUCCUACUUAACUGUGCUGAGCUAACACUGGGAGGCGGAGUCAUCUUUGAGAAUGUCAUCUCUUCUCUUUCCCUUUUCCCUUCCUUCAUUGCUGACCUUAAGCUCCAUGCACAUUGCCUCGAGGGACAUGUGUGGGGUUACUCUUCGUCUGGCUCCUUUGACAGCUCUACUUCCAUCACCUUCAUUCAACAAGGAAUUUUGGGGGAGUCCUUCCUGUAGGCCAUGUCCUGUCCACCACACUAGGACUGUGAUGAUGACCAAGAUGGCCCUCCCGAUUGUGUUCACUGCUCUCGGAACGCAUCGUGAGUGUCACACUGCAUUUGCUCCUCUUGGGACAAAGCUUUGUUUGUUCCCCUCUAUUUUGGUUUUAAGCAAGAACACUCAUAUUUUAUUUUACAUAUAUUUGCAUAUAUAUACAUAUAUAAAGAAUCUUGACCUUCCUAAGUUUACAGUCAUUUAUUUUAAUAUUUAAAUAAACUUUUUAUUUUAGAAUAGUCUUAGAUUUACAGAAAAGUUGCAAAGAUAGUACAGAAUUCCUGUAUACCCCACACCCAGUUUCCCCUAUUGUUAGCAUCUUAUGUUACUAUGGGACGUUUGUCACAAUUAAUGAACCAACAUUGAUACAUUAUUAUGAAUUAAAUCCCAUACUUUAUUCUGUUUUCAUUAGUUUCCCCUAAUGUUCAGAAUAUCACAUUACAUUUAGUCAUCCUGUCUCCUUAGGCCCCUAUGAGCUGUGACAGUUUUGAUGACGUUGACAAUUCUGAAGAGUACUGGUCAGGUAUUUUGUAGAGCGCCCCUCAAUUUGGGUUUUUCUGAUGUUUUCUCAUGAUUAGACUGGGGUUAUGGGUUUUGAGGAGGAAGACCACAGAUGUGAAGUACCACUCUUGACACAUCAUAUCAGGGGGACCUGUUAUCAACAAAAUUAUUUUCCUAUUUAUCCAUCAGUUUCUAUAUUAAGCUAAAUAUGGAUGCAUGUGGUUCAUUCUAGCAUUCCCUUUCGUAUAAGCUCUAUUUUUGACCAAGCCUUGUUGUAUCUUAACUUUACAAAGACUUUCUCUUCCACCCUGGUCUU
rnacentral:lncRNA from 1 species